rnacentral:lncRNA from 1 species
UGCUGGGCCGCAGCCCUGUCUGGGAGGUGGGGAGCGUCUCUGCCCGGCUGCUCCGUCUGAGAAGUGAGGAAACCCUCUGCCUGGCAACCGCCCCGUCUGAGAAGUGAGGAGCCCCUCCGUCCGGCAACCACCCCGUCUGGGAAGUGAGGAGCGUCUCCGCCCAGCAGCCACCCCGUCCGGGAGGGAGGUGGGGGGGGUCAGCCCCCCGCCCGGCCAGCCGCCCCGUCCUGGAGGUGAGGGGCUCCUCUGCCCGGCCGCCCCUACUGGGAAGUGAGGAGCCCCUCUGCCCGGCCAGACGCCCCGUCCAGGAGGGAGGUGGGGGGGUCAGCCCCCCGCCCGGCCAGCCGCCCAGUCCGGGAGGGAGGUGGGGGGUCAGCCCCCCGCCCGGCCAGCCGCCCCGUCUGGGAGGGAGGUGGGGGGAUCAGCCCCCCGCCUGGCCAGCCGCCCCAUCCGGGAGGUGAGGGGCGCCUCUGCCCGGCCGCCCCUACUGGGAAGUGAGGAGCCCCUCUGCCCGGCCAGCCGCCCCGCCCGGGAGGGAGGUGGGGGGGUCAUCCCCCCACCUGGCCAGCCGCCCCAUCCGGGAGGGAGGUGGGGGGGACAGCCCCCCGCCCAGCCAGCCGCCCUAUCCAGGAGGUGAGGGGCGCCUCUGCCCGGCCGUCCCUACUGGGAAGUGAGGAGCCCCUCUGCCUGGCCAGCCGCCCCGUCCGGGAGGGUGGUGGGGGGGUCAGCCCCC